CCUACGGGUGGCAGCAGUGAGGAAUAUUGGUCAAUGGGCGAGAGCCUGAACCAGCCAAGUCGCGUGAGGGAGUACUGCCCUAUGGGUUGUAAACCUCUUUUGUCGGGGAGCAAAAGCCGGACGUGUCCGGCUGUGAGAGUACCCGAAGAAAAAGCAUCGGCUAACUACGUGCCAGCAGCCGCGGUAAUACGGAGGAUGCGAGCGUUAUCCGGUUUUAUUGGGUGUAAAGGGUGCGCAGGCGGAUUUUUAAGUCAGCGGUAAAAUCGUGGGGCUCAACCCCAUCCAGCCGUUGAAACUGGGGAUCUAGAGUGUGCGGAAGGGAUGCGGAAUGCGUGGUGUAGCGGUGAAAUGCAUAGAUAUCACGCAGAACCCCGAUUGCGAAGGCAGCAUACCGGUGCACAACUGACGCUCAGGCACGAAAGCGUGGGUAUCGAACAGGAUUAGAUACCCUUGUAGUC
rnacentral:rRNA from 1 species